AUUGAACGCUGGCGGCAUGCCUUACACAUGCAAGUCGAACGGCAGCACGGGUGCUUGCCCCUGGUGGCGAGUGGCGAACGGGUGAGUAAUACAUCGGAACAUGUCCUGUAGUGGGGGAUAGCCCGGCGAAAGCCGGAUUAAUACCGCAUACGAUCUACGGAUGAAAGCGGGGGACCUUCGGGCCUCGCGCUAUAGGGUUGGCCGAUGGCUGAUUAGCUAGUUGGUGGGGUAAAGGCCUACCAAGGCGACGAUCAGUAGCUGGUCUGAGAGGACGACCAGCCACACUGGGACUGAGACACGGCCCAGACUCCUACGGGAGGCAGCAGUGGGGAAUUUUGGACAAUGGGCGAAAGCCUGAUCCAGCAAUACCGCGUGUGUGAAGAAGGCCUUCGGGUUGUAAAGCACUUUUGUCCGGAAAGAAAUCCUUGGCUCUAAUACAGUCGGGGGAUGACGGUACCGGAAGAAUAAGCACCGGCUAACUACGUG
rnacentral:rRNA from 1 species